rfam:Stegodyphus mimosarum contig24857, whole genome shotgun sequence.
GGCCCGUUAGCUCAUUUGGUUACAGCAUCGAGCUAAUAACGCGAAGGUCGUGGGUUCGAUUCCCUCAUGGGCCA